rnacentral:tRNA from 1 species
AGAGAGUUGGCUCAGUGGUUAAGAGCACUGCCUGAUCUUCCAGAGGCUGAGGGUUCAAUUCCCCACACUCUA